AUUGAACGCUGGCGGAAUGCUUUACACAUGCAAGUCGAACGGUAGAGGGGGCAACCCCUCGAGAGUGGCGAACGGGUGAGUAAUAUAUCGGAACGUGCCCAGUCGUGGGGGAUAACGUAGCGAAAGUUACGCUAAUACCGCAUACGAUCUAAGGAUGAAAGCGGGGGAUCGCAAGACCUCGCGCGAUUGGAGCGGCCGAUAUCAGAUUAGGUAGUUGGUGGGGUAAAGGCUCAGCAAGCCAACGAUCUGUAGCUGGUCUGAGAGGACGACCAGCCAAACUGGAACUCAGACACGGUCCAGACUCCUACGGGAGGCAGCAGUGGGGAAUUUUGGACAAUGGACGCAAGUCUGAUUCACCCAUUCCGCGUGCAGGAUGAAGGCCCUCGGGUUGUAAACUGCUUUUGUACGGAACGAAAAGGUCUCUCUUAAUACGGGGGGCUCAUGGCGGUACCGUAAGAAUAAGCACCGGCUAACUACGUGCCAGCCGCCGCAGUAA
rnacentral:rRNA from 1 species